rnacentral:rRNA from 1 species
GACGAACGCUGGCGGUGUGCUUAACACAUGCAAGUCGAACGGAAAGGCCCUGCUUUUGUGGGGUGCUCGAGUGGCGAACGGGUGAGUAACACGUGAGUAACCUGCCCUUGACUUUGGGAUAACUUCAGGAAACUGGGGCUAAUACCGGAUAGGAGCUCCUGCUGCAUGGUGGGGGUUGGAAAGUUUCGGCGGUUGGGGAUGGGCUCGCGGCUUAUCAGCUUGUUGGUGGGGUAGUGGCUUACCAAGGCUUUGACGGGUAGCCGGCCUGAGAGGGUGACCGGCAAACUGGGGACGGAGGAACGGCCCAGACCCCUACGGGAGGCAACAGUGGGGAAUAUUGCACAAGGGGCGGAAGCCUGAUGCAGCAACGCCGGGGGGGGGAUGACGGCCUUGGGGUUGUAAACCGUUUUCGCCUGUGACGAAGCGUGGGUGACGGUAAUGGGAAAAGAAGCACCGGCUAACUACGU